UAGACACCAAGACAGACCACGUCAAAACUCCCUAGAAAAGGACUGAACUAAGUGGGCCCUGUCCUAAUGUCUUUGGUUGGGGCGACCACGGGGAAACACAAAACCCCCGCGUGGAAUGGGAGCACCCUACUCCUACAACUAAGAGCUUCCGCUCUAAUAAACAGAAUUUCUGACCAACAAGAUCCGGCAACGCCGAUCAACGAACCGAGUUACCCU
rnacentral:rRNA from 1 species